GUGUUUUUAUUAUAAUAAGUAUUUAAAAUUUAGGUUUUUAAGGUUAUUGAACACA
rnacentral:tRNA from 2 species